AACGAACGCUGGCGGCAUGCCUAACACAUGCAAGUCGAACGAUCACUUCGGUGAUAGUGGCGCACGGGUGCGUAACGCGUGGGAAUCUGCCCCUUGGUUCGGAAUAACUCAGAGAAAUUUGAGCUAAUACCGGAUGACGACGAAAGUCCAAAGAUUUAUCGCCGAGGGAUGAGCCCGCGUAGGAUUAGCUAGUUGGUGGGGUAAAGGCCUACCACGGCGACGCUCCUUGGCUGGUCUGAGAGGAUGAUCAGCCACACUGGGACUGAGACACGGCCCAGACUCCUACGGGAGGCAGCAGUGGGGAAUAUUGGACAAUGGGCGAAAGCCUGAUCCAGCAAUGCCGCGUGAGUGAUGAAGGCCUUAGGGUUGUAAAGCUCUUUUACCCGGGAUGAUAAUGACAGUACCGGGAGAAUAAGCUCCGGCUAACUCCGUGCCAGCCGCCGCAGUAA
rnacentral:rRNA from 1 species